GUGCGGCCGGGGCGGGGGGCGGACUGGACCUGCGGAGGGGGUGCGACCGGGGCAGGGAGGCGAGGGCACUCGAGGAGGGGGCGCGGCUUGAGAGUGGAACCUGGGCCUGGCCGGUGGCGAGACCCGGGGUACAGAACCCAGACGGGACAGGAGGGCAGGGGCUGAUCGUCCGAGAGCGGACAACCCUCCAGCCUUUCCGCGGAGGAGCGCAGUAGCGGGCAGCCGUGGGCCCUCGGGUUCUGCGGAGAUGUGGCGCCUGAAUGCUGAGCCUCGUCAAGAGCCCUCAUCAAAAAAGAGUAGGCAUUAACAACUUUAUGCCCAAGAAGAUGGAAUAUACUUGGAAUUCAAGUCCAUAUCCAUUUGUUUUAUUAUCAAGAGACCAAGGAAGUAUUUAUAACUCCCCUUCCUUUUUUUUUUCUUUUUCUUUUUUUGAUGUGCUGUCUUAAACAUCCAGAUGUAGGAGAUGGGCCAAAUACAUUAUUUGAUGUCAUUGGGGUGUUCUAAGUCCACAGAUGUGUCUAGUUUGAAAGCUAUUGAUGUAAGUUUUCUCUUUAAGAAAACAAAUUUCAUCUUGAAACUCUUUAAGCCUGGGGAAAAAAAAAAUCAUUCAGAGGGAAAAGAAAUUUUUCUUGAACUAAUUUCAACUAAGUUUAAUCAUUUAAAGGAAAACAUGUUUUACUUCUGCCUAAGUAGAGUCUAGUCAUGUGACUCAUAGGUUAAAUAUAUCCACGGCUCCCUGUGUUCACCUCCCAGGGCAGCUGAUUUUUCUGACUCCUCUUGGUUGCGAUCCUGUUUCCUCAGACUCGUCUAGCUUACUCCGCUUCACUGACAGUAAUGCCACAGGCUGUGUUCUUUCCACUGUGAGAGUGCGUUUAAAAUCAGCUGCAUUUGGAGACCUGGCUUCCAUCAAAUAUGCUAAAAACCCAGGUUGAUUUUAUUAGACGCUUCCCAUAAUAAGCAAACACUCUAAUCUUUCCCACAUGGCCAAGGCCACUAAGAG
rnacentral:lncRNA from 1 species